rnacentral:rRNA from 1 species
UACGUAGGGGGCAAGCGUUGUCCGGAAUUAUUGGGCGUAAAGAGCGCGUAGGCGGUCCGAUAAGUCGGCUGUGAAAGUCAGGGGCUCAACCCCUGAAUGCCGGCCGAUACUGUCGGGCUAGAGUCCGGAAGAGGAAAGUGGAAUUCCUGGUGUAGCGGUGAAAUGCGCAGAUAUCAGGAAGAACACCAAUGGCGAAAGCAGCUUUCUGGGACGGUACUGACGCUGAGACGCGAAAGCGUGGGGAGCGAACAGG